UACGUAGGGGGCAAGCGUUGUCCGGAAUUAUUGGGCGUAAAGAGCUCGUAGGCGGCCAACUAAGUCAGACGUGAAAUCCCUCAGCUUAACUGGGGAACUGCGUCUGAUACUGGAUGGCUUGAGUUUGGGAGAGGGAUGCGGAAUUCCAGGUGUAGCGGUGAAAUGCGUAGAUAUCUGGAGGAACACCUGAGGCGAAGGCGGGUUGCUAGGCUGACACUGACGCUGAAGCGCGAAAGCUAGGGUAGCAAACGGG
rnacentral:rRNA from 1 species